rnacentral:rRNA from 1 species
UACGGGGGGGGCAAGCGUUGUUCGGAAUUACUGGGCGUAAAGGGCUCGUAGGUGGCCAACUAAGUCAGACGUGAAAUCCCUCGGCUUAACCGGGGAACUGCGUCUGAUACUGGAUGGCUUGAGUUCGGGAGAGGGAGUGCGGAAUUCCAGGUGUAGCGGUGAAAUGCGUAGAUAUCUGGAGGAACACCGGUGGCGAAGGCGGCAUCCUGGACCGACACUGACGCUGAGGAGCGAAAGCCAGGGGAGCAAAGCGGGGAU